UGAGGAAUAUUGCACAAUGGGCGCAAGCCUGAUGCAGCGACGCCGCGUGGGUGAAGAAGGUUUUCGGAUCGUAAAACCCUUUCUGUGUGACGAGCAAGGACGGUAGCACAGGAAUAAGUCUCGGCUAACUACGUG
rnacentral:rRNA from 1 species